rnacentral:lncRNA from 7 species
GAUAUGGAUCGGUCUGCCUGGACAGAAGGCCAGACCAAUGCUCAGUGUUUCAGAUGCAGAUGCUGCUGGAGGUCCCCGUUUUACUAACCAUUGAAAAUAGUCAUCAACUGUGGAAUGUGUCAUUUCAGCAAAAAUGUGGUCCUGCAGUUUGAGAUAUCUUCAGAUGUCCUAACCUCAGUCAAAGACGUAAAUGAAGAUGAUGCAAAAAAUUGUGGUAUUUUUCAUUUUCCCAUGAAAAUGUAAGUGAUUAUUUAAGUCAUUAUAUGGUAAUGCCUUAACAGUUUAAAAAGUAAUACUAGUUUCAAAAGUCUUAUGGAUUUCAUGACUGGGCACAUGGUAAGGGUGGUGAGAGAUAAGUACUAGUAUGAGAUGCAUUUAUCACUAAUUUAAUUUCUUCCUGGCAACUCUUAAAACCUAUCUCUCAUUUAUCAUAAUGUAACUAAGGAGUAGCUCUACUGACAGUAAAUGUUUUCAGUUUAAUUUCUGAAAUGCUGUCAAGCUGAUUUGUGUCCACAGAGUAGAAGGAAAGCUCCUGUUAACUCUCUUCUAGUUAAAUCUGCACAACUCGGCUGUAAACAAAGCUCCAUGUGUCAGUGUGCAUAGAAAGUGAACCAGUUCCUUCUGGCUCUGUUUAAAACACUGACAAUCCAUGUGCAUAGUCUGAUUUCAGUUUUGAAUGGCUUGUUUCAAUUUUCUAUCAAGUAUAGAUUUGAGAUACUUUGAUUAAGACAAAAAGUCCAACCAGUUUAAAACAUCAAAGACCAGCAGCUUCCUGGGUUGUAUUAGCAAGAAUAUAGCUAGCAGCUCCAGGGAAGUAAUCUUUCCCCUACAUUUCUGGGUACUCCACUAUAAGGCACUGAUGUAUGGGAAUGAGUCCACUGAAGGGCCAUCAGUGUGGUCAGAGGAGUGGAGAACUUGAGAUAAAAGGAGAGAAUUGAGUUUGUUAUCCUGAAAAAGGGAAGGAUCAGGAGAGACCUUAUUGCCGUCUGUGCUGUUUUAUUGGAGUACUCUUGGUGGUACACAGUGGUAGGGUGAUAUGCAAAGGACAGAAGUUGGAACUUGGAGAAAACUGAUUAAGGAAGGAAAUAAAUGUUCGUGAUGUUUGUGAAGUAUGAUCAAAUACAGGAAAAGGUUGUCCAGGAGAACGGUGGAAUCUCCACCUCUGGGGUUGUUCAAAGCUUGACUGGGCAUGGUCUGCACAACCUCAUCUAAGGACACCUCUUUUAAGCAAGAAUUUGGACUAGAUACCUCAAGCCUGUAUUAUUCUGUUUCUAUGAAAAAGUGCUACUUGGAAACCAAAUAAUUUGUUGGCUUCACAAAAUUAUCUUAAAACCAUGGUAAGAGUAAUUUAUGUGUAGAUGGAGUUCUCACUGAAGGUUUUUUCCCUUGAAUUAUCAAGUUUGGAGAAAACAACAAGGUACUUGCAAGUUAGCUUGCAAGAACAGAAACUGGGAGAGCUUUCUCCCGACUAGAACUUUGUACUCAAGAAGUGCUCUUGAUUUAGUAACUGUGACUGUAGGACCUUCCCGAACUGAUAACAAGUAACAGAGGUAUGGAGCAGGACAGUAAUGGAGGAAAAAAAAAAAAAGUUAUGGAGUAUGGAGUUACCCGAUUCAACAUUAACAUAGCACACAUGAUUUCUAUGAAAAACAGAAUAAGGCUGGAUGCUCUGUACUGGUCUUGCCCUCAUCCUGUCUUAUGGUUCCUUGACGUUUUGAUUUCAUCUUCCUUCAAGGCUACGUAGGAAUUACCAGUUUAUAUUCUGCAAUUGCAUUACUAACACUUGUUCUGAGAUUUCAUUUCAGAAGGAGGCCACGUGGAGGAUCCCUCAGCCUUAUUUUAGUAGAAACAAAUAACCAGUCAGCCACAGCAUUUAUCCAUUACCUGGGGCUCCCAGUACACCAAGGAGGAUAACACUAAUCAUGGACCAGAAAGCAGAUCCUUCCUUCUUGGCAAAUUAUGCUUCAGUUUUCUGAGUGCUGGAAGUCAUUUAUUGCUUCUAAUCCAAGGACACUGGCUGGUCACCUGCAGUGAUGAGGAAGAAACUGUCUAUAAAAUUAUGAAGCAGUUUCUCUGUGAAUCGGUGCAUGUGGACAACUAGAAGAACCAAAAGUCUAAUCCAAGGUCCACUUAAUCUGCGGGCUCCUCAAUCCUACUGAAUUCACUCAGCUUUAAAUCAAGGUCUUAACUGGAAAGAUGAAGAUUAAAAUCAGUUCUCACCACAAUCAAUUUUCAACUGAAUCAUUGUCUUGCUUUGUUCAGACGCUGCACUGAUGUUGUGCACCUGGUGGGGUAGGCAUGAAGAACUUCAAAACUUUGUUUGGAUUGGUCAUGUGGCUACAACCAGAGCUUUUCCAAAUUACUCAGACUUUUGGUAUCAAUUUUCAAGACUUUGAAACGAGCCUGACUGCUGAUGUUUUCAUAUUUGAAUAUAUUAUUAAUAGUAUAUAUUCAAUAUAUUAAUGCAAUUUGAAGGAGUCUGAUAUGUCUGAUAUGUAGCUAUCGCAUAUGCAUUUGAGUACAAUCAUAAGAUGAAGGUUUCACAAAUACAAAAUGCAUAGGGAUCAAUUUUUUGUUCCAAAGAUCAAUGACAGUUCCUAGGCAGAAAAGUGAACCGUAACUGUUAUAGGAACCUAUUCUUCUGUGAGUCUUUGUGCAUCUGGGGUGCUCAUACUGACAACAUUUAUCAUUGUACCCUGUGUAGCAUAGGCACUUUGCUGAUGUUUAUCAAAGAUGCAUCUGAAACAAUCAUAAUUUCUACUUCCAUUUCUGGAUGAAAUUCAACACCAGGACGUUAAAAUGAUGAAAUCAUAGCUAUUAUCCUGAUUGUUUCAGAUCUUGAAAUAUGUUUAGUUUAUUAGAUGUUUGAGAUAACAUAAAUUGUACUUGUGUUAUUCUUUCUGCCCACAAAACAGCUCAGGAUUGGAGGGGGGAAAGAAAUAGAAAAAGCUGGAAAGCCUACAGAAGUAAAACAUGAUGUGAAUGUUAGAAUUAAUACUAACUGUUGAAAU